AGAGUUUGAUCAUGGCUCAGGAUGAACGCUGGCGGCGUGCUUAACACAUGCAAGUCGAACGAGAACCAUUGGAUCGAGGAUUCGUCCAAGUGAAGGUGGGGAAAGUGGCGGACGGGUGAGUAACGCGUGAGCAAUCUGCCUUGGAGUGGGGAAUAACGGCUGGAAACAGCCGCUAAUACCGCAUGAUACAGCUGGGAGGCAUCUCCCUGGCUGUCAAAGAUUUAUCGCUCUGAGAUGAGCUCGCGUCUGAUUAGCUGGUUGGCGGGGUAACGGCCCACCAAGGCGACGAUCAGUAGCCGGACUGAGAGGUUGGCCGGCCACAUUGGGACUGAGACACGGCCCAGACUCCUACGGGAGGCAGCAGUGGGGAAUAUUGGGCAAUGGGCGCAAGCCUGACCCAGCAACGCCGCGUGAAGGAAGAAGGCUUUCGGGUUGUAAACUUCUUUUCUUGGGGACGAAGAAAGUGACGGUACCCAAGGAAUAAGCCACGGCUAACUACGUGCCAGCAGCCGCGGUAAUACGUAGGUGGCAAGCGUUAUCCGGAUUUAUUGGGUGUAAAGGGCGUGUAGGCGGGAAUGCAAGUCAGAUGUGAAAACUAUGGGCUCAACCCAUAGCCUGCAUUUGAAACUGUAUUU
rnacentral:rRNA from 1 species